UACGUAGGGGGCAAGCGUUGUCCGGAUUUACUGGGCGUAAAGGGCGCGUAGGCGGUCUUUUAAGUCUUGUGUGAAAUCCCUCGGCUUAACUGAGGAACUGCACGGGAUACUGGGAGACUUGAGUUCGGGAGAGGGAAGCGGAAUUCCGGGUGUAGCGGUGAAAUGCGUAGAUAUCCGGAGGAACACCGGUGGCGAAGGCGCUCUGCUGGGCCGCAACUGACACUGAGGGGCGAAAGCUAGGGGAGCGAAUGGG
rnacentral:rRNA from 1 species